rnacentral:rRNA from 1 species
UACGUAGGGUGCGAGCGUUGUCCGGAAUUAUUGGGCGUAAAGAGCUUGUAGGCGGUUUGUCGCGUCUGCUGUGAAAAUCCGGGGCUCAACCCCGGACUUGCAGUGGAUACGGGCAGGCUAGAGGUAGGUAGGGGAGAAUGGAAUUCCCGGUGUAGCGGUGAAAUGCGCAGAUAUCGGGAGGAACACCGGUGGCGAAGGCGGUUCUCUGGGCCUUACCUGACGCUGAGGAGCGAAAGCGUGGGGAGCGAACAGG